GGCUGACUGUCCAUGGCUCAGUGAUAGAGCAUCUGAUUUGCAUGCUGAAGAUCCCAGAUUCAAUUUCUGGCAUCCACAGGUGGGCCA